GCCUAGUUAGCUUGGUUGGUAGCGCGUCUGCCUUGUAAGCGCUAGGCCGCGGGUCCAAUUCCCGCCCGAGGCG
rfam:Asian citrus Psyllid, Diaphorina citri - Florida Strain, whole genome shotgun sequence.